AAAUCAGUCUACAGGCUUUCACAGAAUACCUAUGAAUUAUUCACAUAUUGCCUAUAAAAAAACUUUAUGAAUGGAUUUGUUUAUAUAUACAGUCCUUUAACUUGCAGUCGUCCUUUUUAAAAGCAGUAUAUUGAAAUGUUUGAUAUUUGAUGGUUGCUUCUGAGCAGCUCUGGCUGUGUAUAAAGACUUCUUUGUUUUGUUAUACUAAUAUGUGUAUGGCGGCUCUUGCGGGUUGCAUUUAGGAUUAGCUCAAUGCUGCAUCUGCCAGGGCUUCUCUGGAAAAGUACAUUUUGAAUAAGCAAAUCUUGCCGUUUGCAGAUAAUUUAAUUGGUACAGUAUGAAUAUAUCUCAUUGUAUGUUUGAACCCGCGACCAUCCCCAAAUCAAAUCCAAUGGGAGAAACGUCAGCUGCAGCUUGAAGAGGGAAAUGCUAAUUUGCCAUCUGGAUUAUUGGCCAUUUGUUUAAUUCCCUUGUGCUUUAUCAGCUGCUCCAAACAAACCAGGAUCAAACCUGAUUGGUCACUUCUCAAACUGUUAAAAUAUCCAUUUGGCACUGAGAGAUGAGUCCAGCAUACACUACAUGAGGUGUUCACAUGUAGGAACACGAUGGCUUGGUUUCAGAUCGCCUUCGUUUUAACUACAACCUGCUAAGACCUGCAGACUUCUGGAAACUGUCUGGCGAGGAGUGGCUUUGGGAAUGAGAUCAUCCUCCUCAAUAUGGGUGAAGCUGGGUUGGAUCUAAGUGUUCAUCACAGCCAGUUCAGUGGACACACUUGCUGAAGUACCCAGCAUGCCUCAUUGAGGACGGGGGGCAAAUUGGCCACAUUCCACAGCAUCAUCCCCUAUUAGAAAGUCUGUGCUUGGAUAGAGGACACAAAAGACUGACCCUGGAGAUUUACAGUGUGCACACAGAGGAUGAAUGCGAGACGCUGAGGGACAAAAGUGCAGGUUAAAUGUGACCACGUCGGAUUG